rnacentral:rRNA from 1 species
UGGGGAAUAUUGGGCAAUGGGGGAAACCCUGACCCAGCAACGCCGCGUGAAGGAAGAAGGCUUUCGGGUUGUAAACUUCUUUUAUCAGGGACGAAAAAAAUGACGGUACCUGAUGAAUAAGCCACGGCUAACUACGUGCCAGCAGCCGCGGUAAUACGUAGGUGGCAAGCGUUGUCCGGAUUUACUGGGUGUAAAGGGCGUGUAGGCGGAUAUGCAAGUCAGGCGUGAAAACUAUGGGCUUAACCCAUAGCCUGCGUUUGAAACUGUGUAUCUUGAGUAUCGGAGAGGCAGGCGGAAUUCCUCGUGUAGCGGUGAAAUGCGUAGAUAUGAGGAGGAACACCAGUGGCGAAGGCGGCCUGCUGGACGACAACUGACGCUGAGGCGCGAAAGCGUGGGGAGCAAACA